AGAUAAGCGGGUGUUUGAAUUCAGGUAAAAAUUCUUUGCUGUUCUAAAAUCUUUAGAUUUGAAAUAAAGUCUUGUAUUUUAUAAUAUAAUGAUAUGAUUGUGAGAUUUAUCAAAACUGUUUACUUAUGACAGUGUAAUGAAGUUAUUUAUAAUGAGUCUUAUCUGUCCUUUGACUUUUGUUGUAAGGGUGCUGUGACAGUUCAUGUAACCAAAUCCCUCCAUUUUUCCAGAUCAGCAGCUGUUCUUAGGAUG